GACAGAGGGUGCAAACGUUGUUCGGAAUUACUGGGCGUAAAGCGCGUGUAGGCGGCAAUGCAAGUCGGAUGUGAAAGCCCCGGGCUCAACCUGGGAACUGCAUCCAAAACUGGCAAGCUAGAGUAGGGCAGAGGGUGGUGGAAUUUCCUGUGUAGCGGUGAAAUGCGUAGAUAUAGGAAGGAACACCAGUGGCGAAGGCGACCACCUGGGCUCAUACUGACACUGAGGUGCGAAAGCGUGGGGAG
rnacentral:rRNA from 1 species